CCAAUAAUUAAAACGCAAAUACAUAAAACAAAAAAGAAUGAUAAUAAAAAAACCCUGGACCUCUCGAAUGGCACUGCAGUCAGUGUUGCCACGAACGAAUUGUUUUCCUAUCAAAACCUACCAAACAUUUUUUUAAUUAUUUUAUUUUUUUUCAAUGUCAAGUCAGCCCAUUCGUUGCCUUCACGCCCUACAUGUGCCGGAACCCACCAUAUCGCGAACACAGACUUUGGCCGACUUUUUUAGAUGCUUGGUCCAAGUACGCCUGCCACAGUACUCCCGCCGUCCAUCUUUGAUCUGUCGGUAUACCAUACUUGGGACUUUUCGUCAAUUGUAGUUACUAUCACUUCACAGCAGUCCCUUUCCUGAAUUCUAACCUUGUAGGGUUUAUAUAAGGAUAACUCGGAAUAAUCCAGGAGUGACUUGAGAACCUACAAAUGACCCCACGAUCUCCACUUUUCAUGAUGAUCGUAUUGGUCAGCUGUGGGGCUCCCCAGCAGGCCUCUUUUCCAACAGAGUACACAAAGAAGGAAUGCAUGUAAUGAUACCAAGGUGCACAUAGUUCCUGUGAUGACAACGCGGACACAAAAAAACUGGUGCCGAAAACAGCAUUCUAACUCGUGUAUGCCCCCGAAGCUUGCAAGUUAUUGAUGAACGAGGUAUUCACCCAGUUUCUGACGGUAGCCUUGAUGGACAAUGUUGAGAGUGAUAUAACUGCUUGAGGUUGAGGAACACUUGGUCCGAGCCUCCUAUUCAAGUGAUCUAAUGCCUCAUUACCUAAAAGUCCAGGUGACCUAGCAACCGAAGUAAAACAAGUUCGUUUUGUUUACCACAACAAUUUAGCCUAGACCUGCAUUUCUGAGCUAGUUUACAAGGGGUUUAGGGAUCAAUGCCUAUAGUGCAGCUUAGCUGUUACUACGACACGUAAUCUCAUAGACGAAGUCGAAUACAAAGACAAAGACAAAUACAAAGCGAAAAAUGCUAAUACGAAGAGUAAGACCUAAAACUGUAUCGGACAGGCAAAUACAAGAUGGUGCAGGAUAGCAAGGCAUAUUUGGCCUAGAUUGGAUAAGCGCCGACGUAAUUACAGCUCUCACCGGGCACUGCCUGAUGGAGCGCACACUAUUAGAAUGGGUAUGCCGUCAAACGAUUACUGCCGUAGUUGCUUGCGCUAGGACGGAUACGAAGAAUAAUAUGAAGACGAAUGCAAAACUGAAUACGAAAUCAAAGGAAGGCUUAAACGAAGGCUAAGAGAGAUUCGAAUACGAAGUGUACACGAAGUCGAUUAUAAAGACAAAGACGAACUCAAAGACGGAAACGAAUACAAACCAAAACGAUCACGAAGACGAAUGCGAAGACUACUAAUAAGACGAAUAUAAAGCGAAAGAUGAAUAUCAUUAUGAAGGUUAAAACGAAUAGGAAUACGAAGUUGAAUACGAACACGAAUGCAAAGAUGAUGACGAAAACGAAAACUAAUACCGUUACGAAGGAAAAUACGAAUACAUACGGAUACAAAUGGGAUGACGCAAGCGAAAACGAGCACGAACAUUAAUACGAAAACGAAUACGAAAUUUGAAGACAAGUAUGAAUACAAAGGAUAAGGUUUAUAUAAAAUGGUCAGUUUGGAUGAAUCAUCGCCACCAUCAUCAUUAUCAUCAGCACCGACGUCGCAUCGCUGCCAAUCAAAAGCAGACAAUACAACUUACUAACCGGCCAACAAAUUGGCUACUUACACAUUGACUUACAAACCAGUUGCGGCAUUCAUUAAAAAAAA
rnacentral:lncRNA from 1 species